rnacentral:rRNA from 1 species
UUCUGUGGCUGUACCGCUCUGAGUGUGUAUGCUCUUCUGAUCUCAAAAGCUAAGCAGGGUCAGGGCUGGUUAGUACUGGAAUGGGAGACCACAUAGGAAACUUUGUGUUGUAGGCU